GUGUGGGAUUGAAGACUAUGUAUAGAGAUAUAUAUAUGUAUAUUUAGGUAUUUAUGUAUUUCAUGUACAAGGCCCAGGCACGCAAGGCUUUUGGCUUUCAAGCCAGAGAUAUGUCCAUGUGUAGUUGUGUCCGUUGCUCUUUUGAUUUAAACGUGCUUAAAUUUAAAGAUCAAAUUGCUUGGGUUUCGUUUUUAUUUUCCUCUUUUUGGGGGGGACUUUUUCGGGGGCGGGCUAUUUAGCGGUAGGCCCAGGAAUUUUAAAUCGUAGACAAGCAAAACCGCAAUAAUCGGACAGGAAUCGUGUAGAAAUAAGCAAUCGCUGCAGUGAGUCAGAGAUUGAAAUGUAGUUUUUUGUUGGCGGAUAUGGUUAGCAAUUUAUUUAGAAAGCCAGAGACUCGAGUGCACCCACAGAUUUAGAGGCUGACACACAUUUUUCAGCUUUAUUCGCAUUUCGCCCACCGUUUGGAUAAUUUCGCUGGAAAAAAUGAUUAAGUGAUUAGGGGCUUUUGCGGCUGACUAACAUUCGAAAACGAAAGACUUAGGCAACGAACUUGCCCAUAACCUAUUGACAUUAUGACGCGGCAAGGAGGAGGCUUCUCCCCUUCCCUCUUUACCACUCUUUCUCUCUCUCUCUGACUAGCUCUCUCCUACUCAUUCACUUGCAUCUCGCUGACUUCGGUUUGGAAAUUUGCAUUGUUUGCCAACGUUGCGACCUCCCGAUUUGUCUGCCUGCCAAGCAAACGUGAGAUGAGUUGGGGUUUGCUCAUUUGCCGCCUUUCUGCCUCCGCCGCUGGGAACGUGCAGAGAAAAUAUUUGACUUUUUGCGCACACAGUUAUGGAUAUAUAAAUAUGUCAAAAGUUUUGUUUGCCUUUCUGUCGCGGCCAUUGUGGGAAAGUGUAAGGUUCUGGGCCCGAAGCUCUCGGACGACAGUUUGCCGGAGAUCUUAUCGGUGGAUGGAUCAUUUCACAAUUCAAAGACCCGGACUGGCCAUUGUCCGAGAUCUCCAAAUGACCAGGUUAAUAAGCAUAUACCACUGGAAACCAGUUGGUCCAACUAGCGGAGCCAAGCCCCUGGGGUGGGAGCUCACUUAGGCCCCUCUAAAAGCAUACGCAUAGCCAAUGGUCGGGGCCAUAUUUACACUCUCCGUCCGAAAAACCCUAUUCAGCCGGAGCCAGAACUAAUAAAACUCAUUAAACCAAACAUGUUUGGGCCAAGACAAAGGCCUCUGUCUAUGCCCAAUUUGAAUAAUCUCCUACACAGAGAGCAGACUAUGGCCACAUCAAAUGGGGAACUGGAUGGCGGCGAGAACCCGCGAGUCAAUAAUCUGAUUGGGGAGGCGAGUGAGAACAACGUUCAAUUAAAAGCAGAACCCAAAUUAAUGAAAUGAAAAUAAAAAUAAAUUAACCAAGGCCUGAACUCGACUUCAAAUCUGAACCGAAUCCGAAUCUGAAUCCGAACCCGAAAGAAAGCGGCCGUGCGGCGAAACCAACCAAACCAGCAGCCUCUGAAAAAGAGAGAAUCAAAAUGAUGACUUUUCAGUUCGGAGCGAAACUGUACCCCCCUGUUCGGCAUCGGCAUCGGCAUCGGCAUUGGCAUGGGCAUGGGCAUUAUAAUGAUCACCGAGAUCAUGAUGAUGCUGCGUGAAAGAGGAAGAACACAAAAGGUGGCUGUGGAACCCAAACCCGAACUUCCACCGGCAAAUGGCCAAGAUCGAUACAAUUUUCGAGCAGCAUUCGGGUUUUCGGACCCCAAAAGUCAGAGAACAGUAACAAUGCCGAGCCACAGAUACAAAGAUACCCAGAUACAUAUGGCUACACAUAUACGUAUGGCGGCCAUAAGGCGGGGGACUGAGACAAAGUCACCUUUUUGGUUAUACGGGGAGAGACAAAAGACGUGGAAUGGGAACAAGAUCAUUGCAUUUUUGCUGGCUGCUGGCUGUUUUUGUUUUUGUUGCAGCCCCGAAGCCAGUUUCGCCCCAGCCUGGUAACAAGUUUGACUGAAAAUUCUAAAAAUAAUGCCGGCCGGUUUGUCGUUUCCAAAAGAAAAUCAAAAACACACAAAAAAAGGGGGAAUACGAAAAGAAAGAGUGGGCCCAACUCCAGAGAUGGUGCAUCUGUGGGCGAGUGUGAGUGAGUGAAGGGUAGGAAAAAAAUAAGCAACACAAAAAAGUAACAUUUCGAAGGAAGGGACUAAGGAUGCCAAGUGCCAAGUCACUCGAUUCGGCUUACAGGCAGCUGCAAUUGGUCCAGGGAUGGACCGCAAUUCACAGGUGAUUUCCAUCAGUGAAUCAAUCUCUUUUUGUUAGCAAAAUUUUUAUAUUUUAUAUAUAUACGUAUAUAUAUUCAUUCAUAUAUGUAUGUUCAGAGAAUGGCAACGCUAAAUAAUUUAAUUUGCAAGUAUUUGGGUCAUAAAAUAAAUUAACGAAAUUAGUUGUACGUGGAAACUUUAAUAAAAUAUUUUAAUACAGAUAUUUUUAAGAUAUAUUUUAUUUUAAUUUGUAUUAACAAACCAAAGCAGCAAAACAUAUAUCCCAAAUUGAUAACUAGUCACCUUUUAAUACCAUGAUGCUGCAGCCCUGAAGCUGACCGAUGUUGCAUCUUUCCGCUGCAGAGCCAAACCAAUCUCGGGCCCAAUCCCUAUCCAGUCCGGUCCGGUCCGGCUGGCUUUGGUCAUGAGUCCCUAGUGCCCAGUGCCCGGUGCCUGGGCCCUGAUGAUCAUGACGCUGCUAAAUGUGGCCGGUGGUGCCCAGCAUGGGGCAGGGGCAGCCGGUUCAGUCUGUGGUGCUGUCCCCCUCCUCAGCCCUCAGCGCUUGUUUGCAACAAGUAACGCGCCGAGGAAUCUGUAUUUGCCGGGCCAAAGAGUUGCUUACCUGCGGAGGCCGAGCUACCUGUGUCCAGGUAGGCGUAUGCAUGUGUGCCUGUGCCCUAUCCACAUCCUUCGUCUCUGCAGUGGAUGCAGCAGCCAGCGGUCAGCGGAGGCAGCGCAGCAUCGAACCAUCAUUAUAUUCAGGUUUUGAUGCCCCUCAUCCCCAUCCAGCACGCGAUAAAUCUCCGGCUUACAAUCAGGAGAAAUGCUGCCAGAACAAAAGCCCACAUGUCCAUUGCGUUGCCUUCGGCUCGCCGGUGAUUUGAAUAGCCACAGUUCUAGUGCCACAAAAAGAGCGAUGCUGCCAGUGGUCCCUGACCCUCGUCGUAAUCAAAGACGCCCAGUGAAUCAACCGAGUAUGGGGGGGUCUAUUUUUGUAAAACCCCAACUCGACUUGCUCAUUAUUUUGCCGCUUUUUGGCUGGUCAUCGCUCUCAAGUGGCUCAUUCGGGUCGAGAUUGAUUCGAAAGAAAGGUGCAGAGAAAGUGGCAAGGAGGCAGUGGACUUGGACCAAGUGGGUUGUUGCUGGACCUUCGCUCAAACACAGAAAAAAAUGAUGAGUAAAACUAUGCUUUUAUAUAAUGCGAUACAUGGUUAUCAGCAAGAAGUUUGUAAUUUGCAUAAACGGAUUCUAACUCCCAUUAUACGCAUCCUAUUUUCAGUUACAACAAGACAGAAACCAAUCCUCGACUAUCAGAUACCCGUUACUCAGCUAGAGGAAAACGCAAUUUUGAACACAUAA